GACGAACGCUGGCGGCGUGCCUAAUACAUGCCAGUAGAACGCACAGUUUAUACCGUAGCUUGCUACACCAUAGACUGUGAGUUGCGAACGGGUGAGUAACGCGUAGGUAACCUGCCUGGUAGCGGGGGAUAACUAUUGGAAACGAUAGCUAAUACCGCAUAAUAUUAAUUAUUGCAUGAUAAUUAAUUGAAAGGUGCAAUUGCACCACUACCAGAUGGACCUGCGUUGUAUUAGCUAGUAGGUGAGGUAACGGCUCACCUAGGCGACGAUACAUAGCCGACCUGAGAGGGUGAUCGGCCACACUGAGACUGGGACACGGCCCAGACGCCUACGGGAGGCAGCAGGAGGGAAUCUUCGGAAAAGGGCGAAAGUCUGACCGAGCAACGCCGGGUGAGGGGAGAAGGGUGUCGGAUCGUAAAGCUCGGUUGUAAGAGAAGAAAGGGUGUGAGAGUGGAAAGUUCACACUGUGACGGUAUCUUACCAGAAAGGGACGGCUAACUACGUG
rnacentral:rRNA from 1 species